UACCCUUGGUCAGGUUGAAGUUCAGGUAACACUGAAUGGAGGACCGAACCGACUUACGUUGAAAAGUGAGCGGAUGAACUGAGGGUAGCGGAGAAAUUCCAAUCGAACUUGGAGAUAGCUGGUUCUCUCCGAAAUAGCUUUAGGGCUAGCCUCAAGUGAUGAUUAUUGGAGGUAGAGCACUGUUUGGACGAGGGGCCCCUCUCGGGUUACCGAAUUCAGACAAACUCCGAAUGCCAAUUAAUUUAACUUGGGAGUCAGAACAUGGGUGAUAAGGUCCGUGUUCGAAAGGGAAACAGCCCAGACCACCAGCUAAGGUCCCAAAAUAUAUGUUAAGUGGAAAAGGAUGUGGCGUUGCCCAGACAACUAGGAUGUUGGCUUAGAAGCAGCCAUCAUUUAAAGAGUGCGUAAUAGCUCACUAGUCGAGUGACACUGCGCCGAAAAUGUACCGGGGCUAAACAUAUUACCGAAGCUGUGGAUUGUCCUUUGGACAAUGGUAGGAGAGCGUUCUAAGGGCGUCGAAGCAUGAUC
rnacentral:rRNA from 1 species